rnacentral:lncRNA from 1 species
UGGGUUAGACUACAUAAGAGGAAAGCUCUGUAACCGAGCUUAGUAUACACAUAGGUUAGACUCGUGGAUAGUCGUGUACGCCUGCGUUUCGUGUGUUGGGUUGUCACGAGAGCCACACCCAGACUAGAUUCACUUGGAAGUACUUUUGUCCUGUGAGUAUUCACUAUGAAAGGGUAUUUCCAUUUCGAGUCGAUGACUCUAGGAGACCUUCUAGGGACCACCUUGGAGCAUAG